rnacentral:rRNA from 1 species
UCUGCUCAGAUUGAACGCUGGCGGCAGGCCUAACACAUGCAAGUCGAACGGUAACAGGAAGCAGCUUGCUGCUUUGCUGACGAGUGGCGGACGGGUGAGUAAUGUCUGGGAAACUGCCUGAUGGAGGGGGAUAACUACUGGAAACGGUGGCUAAUACCGCAUAACGUCGCAAGACCAAAGAGGGGGACCUUCGGGCCUCUUGCCAUCAGAUGUGCCCAGAUGGGAUUAGCUUGUUGGUGAGGUAACGGCUCACCAAGGCGACGAUCCCUAGCUGGUCUGAGAGGAUGACCAGCCACACUGGAACUGAGACACGGUCCAGACUCCUACGGGAGGCAGCAGUGGGGAAUAUUGCACAAUGGGCGCAAGCCUGAUGCAGCCAUGCCGCGUGUAUGAAGAAGGCCUUCGGGUUGUAAAGUACUUUCAGCGGGGAGGAAGGUGUUGUGGUUAAUAACCGCAGCAAUUGACGUUACCCGCAGAAGAAGCACCGGCUAACUCCGUGCCAGCAGCCGCGGUAAUACGGAGGGUGCAAGCGUUAAUCGGAAUUACUGGGCGUAAAGCGCACGCAGGCGGUCUGUCAAGUCGGAUGUGAAAUCCCCGGGCUCAACCUGGGAACUGCAUUCGAAACUGGCAGGCUUGAGUCUUGUAGAGGGGGGUAGAAUUCCAGGUGUAGCGGUGAAAUGCGUAGAGAUCUGGAGGAAUACCGGUGGCGAAGGCGGCCCCCUGGACAAAGACUGACGCUCAGGUGCGAAAGCGUGGGGAGCAAACAGGAUUAGAUACCCUGGUAGUCCACGCCGUAAACGAUGUCUACUUGGAGGUUGUGCCCUUGAGGCGUGGCUUCCGGAGCUAACGCGUUAAGUAGACCGCCUGGGGAGUACGGCCGCAAGGUUAAAACUCAAAUGAAUUGACGGGGGCCCGCACAAGCGGUGGAGCAUGUGGUUUAAUUCGAUGCAACGCGAAGAACCUUACCUGGUCUUGACAUCCACAGAACUUUCCAGAGAUGGAUUGGUGCCUUCGGGAACUGUGAGACAGGUGCUGCAUGGCUGUCGUCAGCUCGUGUUGUGAAAUGUUGGGUUAAGUCCCGCAACGAGCGCAACCCUUAUCCUUUGUUGCCAGCGGUCCGGCCGGGAACUCAAAGGAGACUGCCAGUGAUAAACUGGAGGAAGGUGGGGAUGACGUCAAGUCAUCAUGGCCCUUACGACCAGGGCUACACACGUGCUACAAUGGCGCAUACAAAGAGAAGCGACCUCGCGAGAGCAAGCGGACCUCAUAAAGUGCGUCGUAGUCCGGAUUGGAGUCUGCAACUCGACUCCAUGAAGUCGGAAUCGCUAGUAAUCGUGGAUCAGAAUGCCACGGUGAAUACGUUCCCGGGCCUUGUACACACCGCCCGUCACACCAUGGGGAGUGGGUUGCAAAAGAAGUAGGUAGCUUAACCUUCGGGAGGGCGCUUACCACUUUGUGAUUCAUGACUGGGGUGAUC